CUUCCGUAGGUGAACCUGCGGAAGGAUCAUUACCGAGUGCGGGCCCUCUGGGUCCAACCUCCCAUCCGUGUCUAUCUGUACCCUGUUGCUUCGGCGUGGCCACGGCCCGCCGGAGACUAACAUUUGAACGCUGUCUGAAGUUUGCAGUCUGAGUUUUUAGUUAAACAAUCGUUAAAACUUUCAACAACGGAUCUCUUGGUUCCGGCAUCGAUGAAGAACGCAGCGAAAUGCGAUAAUUAAUGUGAAUUGCAGAAUUCAGUGAAUCAUCGAGUCUUUGAACGCACAUUGCGCCCCCUGGUAUUCCGGGGGGCAUGCCUGUCCGAGCGUCAUUGCUGCCCUCAAGCACGGCUUGUGUGUUGGGCUUCCGUCCCUGGCAACGGGGACGGGCCCAAAAGGCAGUGGCGGCACCAUGUCUGGUCCUCGAGCGUAUGGGGCUUUGUCACCCGCUCCCGUAGGUCCAGCUGGCAGCUAGCCUCGCAACCAAUCUUUUUAACCAGGUUGACCUCGGAUCAGGUAGGGAUACCCGCUGAACUUAAGCAUAUCAAUAAGCGGAGGGAA
rnacentral:rRNA from 1 species